rnacentral:rRNA from 1 species
AUUGAACGCUGGCGGAAUGCUUUACACAUGCAAGUCGAACGGCAGCACGGGAGCUUGCUCCUGGUGGCGAGUGGCGAACGGGUGAGUAAUAUAUCGGAACGUACCGAGUAAUGGGGGAUAACAUAUCGAAAGAUGUGCUAAUACCGCAUACGCCCUGAGGGGGAAAGCGGAGGAUCGUAAGACUUCGCGUUGUUCGAGCGGCCGAUAUCGGAUUAGCUAGUUGGUGAGGUAAAGGCUCACCAAGGCGACGAUCCGUAGCUGGUCUGAGAGGACGACCAGCCACACUGGAACUGAGACACGGUCCAGACUCCUACGGGAGGCAGCAGUGGGGAAUUUUGGACAGUGGGGGCAACCCUGAUCCAGCCAUUCCGCGUGAGUGAAGAAGGCCUUCGGGUUGUAAAGCUCUUUCGCAAGGGAAGAAAACUUAGGCUCUAACAUAGCUUGAGGCUGACGGUACCUUGAUAAGAAGCACCGGCUAACUACGUGCCAGCCGCCGCAGUAA